GUGCUUACUUCAACAACACAUAUACUAAAAUUGAAAUGAUACAGAGAAGAUCAGCAUGGUCCCUUCACAAGGAUGACACACAAAUUCAUGAAGUGUUCCAUUAAAAA
rnacentral:snRNA from 1 species